rnacentral:rRNA from 1 species
ACGGAGGGUGCAAGCGUUAUUCGGAAAUACUGGGCGUAAAGCGCGUGUAGGCGGUCCUGCAAGUCUGAUGUGAAAGCCCCGGGCUUAACCCGGGAAGUGCAUUGGAAACUGUGAGACUUGAGUACUGGAGAGGAUGGGGGAAUUCCCGGGGGAGGGGUGGAAUUCUUAGAGCUCGGGAGGAAUACCAGGGGCGAAGGCGACAUUCUUGACCGUAACUGACGCUUAGAGGCGAAAGCGUGGGGAGCAAACAG